CUUAACAUUACCAUGUCGCAAUUCCAAGAUGAUGCUUCUUAUCAACAUUAUCCAACGGAUAACAACAUGCAACAGAGUUUUGAACAAUCUGUCAUUCAUCCCUUUACUCAGGCCUGUUAUAUGACAGACUCACAAAUACUGAAUAUAACAAAUGAAAAUGCUUU